rfam:Arabis alpina cultivar Pajares Aa.chr4_contig_2032, whole genome shotgun sequence.
UAGCCAAUGAGGAUAUCAGUAUAUAAAAGAUCACCGUCUUUCGGGACUGAUUAUUGAUGAUCCAUUCUGCAAUUCUGAGGCUU